AAAAAGGCAAACCUUUGGUUUCCGUGUCCAACUUUGACUGUCCGUCUUAUAUGAACUUUUUUUAUAAUUCGUAUUUUCAUUGUUGUUAGAUGAUAAAACAUGAUUAAUAUUUUAUGUGUGACUUGUCUUUUUAAUUUUUUUCAUAAUUUUUUCAAAUAAAACGGACGGUCAAACGUUGGACACGGAAACCAGGGUUUGUCUUUUU
rfam:Oryza barthii chromosome 1, whole genome shotgun sequence.